UACGAAGGGGGCUAGCGUUGCUCGGAAUUACUGGGCGUAAAGCGCACGUAGGCGGCUUUCUAAGUCGGGGGUGAAAUCCUGGAGCUCAACUCCAGAACUGCCUUCGAUACUGGAGAGCUCGAGUCCGGGAGAGGUGAGUGGAACUCCGAGUGUAGAGGUGAAAUUCGUAGAUAUUCGGAAGAACACCAGUGGCGAAGGCGGCUCACUGGUCCGGUACUGACGCUGAGGUGCGAAGCGUGGGGAGCAAACAGG
rnacentral:rRNA from 1 species